UACGUAGGGUGCAAGCGUUGUCCUGAAUUAUUGGGCGUAAAGAGCUUGUAGGCGGUUUGUCGCGUCUGCUGUGAAAUUUCGGGGCUCAACCCCGAACUUGCAGUGGGUACGGGCAGACUAGAGUGUGGUAGGGGAGACUGGAAUUCCUGGUGUAGCGGUGAAAUGCGCAGAUAUCAGGAGGAACACCAAUGGCGAAAGCAGCUCUCUGGGACGGUACUGACGCUGAGACGCGAAAGCGUGGGGAGCGAACAGG
rnacentral:rRNA from 1 species